UAAUACGGAGGGGGUUAGCGUUGUUCGGAAUUACUGGGCGUAAAGCGCGCGUAGGCGGAUUAGUCAGUCAGAGGUGAAAUCCCAGGGCUCAACCCUGGAACUGCCUUUGAUACUGCUAGUCUUGAGUUCGAGAGAGGUGAGUGGAAUUCCGAGUGUAGAGGUGAAAUUCGUAGAUAUUCGGAGGAACACCAGUGGCGAAGGCGGCUCACUGGCUCGAUACUGACGCUGAGGUGCGAAAGCGUGGGUAGCAAACAGGAUUAGAUACCCUGGUAGUCCACGCAGUAAACGAUGA
rnacentral:rRNA from 1 species